rnacentral:rRNA from 1 species
UGCCAAAGUCAUAUCUCUCUGCAGUUCUCAGAUCUGGUUUCCCAUUGAAGCUAAGCAGGGUUGAGCCUGGCCGGUACCUGGAUGGGAGACCUCCUGGGGAAAAGGUUGCUGCUGGAA